rnacentral:rRNA from 1 species
GCCAGCAGACGUAUCACCCUGCAAAUCACAACUGGCAACCCACUGAAGCUCAGCAGGGGUGAGCUUGGCCAGUACCUGGGUGGGAGAUUUCCUGGGGAAAACUAAGGUUGCUGCUGGAA